rnacentral:rRNA from 1 species
GAAAGUCCCGUACGCGAAAGGUCGCAUGCCUCCACUGGUGGCCACCCGAGUACCGCGGAACACGAGAAAUUCUGUGGGAAUUUGCGAGGACCAUCUCGUAAGGCUAAGUACUCCCUAGUGACCGAUAGCGGACCAGUACCGUGAGGGAAAGGUGAAAAGAACCCCGGUGAGGGGAGUGAAAUAGAACCUGAAACCGCAUGUUUACAAUCGGUGGGAGGACGUUGGCUUCGCGCCUGUCCGACCGCGUACCUUUUGCAUAAUGGGCUGGCUAGUUGUGGUAUGCAGCGAGGUUAAGCUUUUAGGCGAGCCGUAGGGAAACCGAGUCUUAAUAGGGCGUUUAGUUGCAUGCUGCAGACGUGAAACCGGGUGAUCUAUCCUUGACCAGGGUGAAGCGUGGGUAAAACCACGUGGAGGCCCGAACCAGUGUCGGUUGAAAACGGCUUGGAUGAGUUGGGGAUAGGGGUGAAAGGCCAAUCAAACCCGGUAAUAGCUCGUUCUCCCCGAAAUAGCUUUAGGGCUAGCCUUUGGCGAUGGAUUGCGGAGGUAGAGCACUGGAAGGGCUAGGGGGCCUAUAAGCUUACCGAACCCUACCAAACUCCGAAUGCCGCAUAUCUUAGCCAGGGAGUCAGACUGCGAGGGAUAAGCUCCGUAGUCGAAAGGGAAACAGCCCAGACCGCCAGCUAAGGCCCCUAAGUGCAGGCUAAGUGGAAAAGGAUGUCGAGAUGCACAGACAGCCGGGAGGUUGGCUUAGAAGCAGCCAUCCUUUAAAGAAAGCGUAAUAGCUCACCGGUCGAGUGACUCGGUGCCGAAAAUGUACCGGGGCUAAGCCUGCCGCCGAAGCUGCGGAUUCAUAGGAACUCCGGUUCCUAUGAGUGGUAGGGGAGCGUUCUGUGUUGCUUGAAGUCAGACCGUAAGGACUGGUGGACGGCACAGAAGUGAGACUGCCAGCACGAGUAGCGAUAAAGAGGGUGAGAACCCCUCUCGCCGUAAGUCUAAGGUUUCCUGAGGAAGGUCAGUCCUCUCAGGGUUAGGCGGCCUCUUAGUCGAGGACGAAGGUCGUAGACGAAGGGAAGCAGGUCAACAUUCCUGCCCCGCCUGAAUAACGUUUGACCGAUGGGGUGACGCAGGAGGGUAGCUCAGCCUGCGAUUGGAAGUGCAGGUUGCAAGCAAGUAGCCGGGGGGACCAGGCAAAUCCGGGCCCCCAUUUCAAACGGUGAGAUGUGAUGCCGAGGUCUUCGGACCGCAAAGUGAGUGAUCCCACGCUGCCAAGAAAAACCUCGUAGGGAGUAAUUCAGGCGACCGUACCGCAAACCGACACAGGUAGACAGGGAGAGAAUCCCAAGGCGAACGAGUUAACACUGGUUAAGGAACUCGGCAAAUUGGCUCCGUAACUUCGGGAGAAGGAGCGCCCCGUUAGCGUGAAGGACCUUGCGUCCGGAGCGUGAGGGGGUCACAGAAACCAGGCCCAGGCGACUGUUUACUAAAAACACAGGUCUCUGCAAAGUCGAAGUCGACGUAUAGGGACUGACGCCUGCCCGGUGCCGGAAGGUUAAGAGGACGGGUUAGCCCUCGGGCGAAGCUCAGAAUUGAAGCCCCGGUAAACGGCGGCCGUAACUAUAACGGUCCUAAGGUAGCGAAAUUCCUUGUCGGGUAAGUUCCGACCCGCACGAAUGGCGUAACGAUCUGGGCGCUGUCUCGACCAGUGGCUCGGCGAAACUGAAGUGCCGGUGAAGAUGCCGGCUACCCGCAGCUGGACAGAAAGACCCCGGCACCUUUACUACAACUUAGUACUGGGUUUUGGUAUGUCGUGUGCAGGAUAGGUGGGAGGCUUUGAAACCAGGCCGCUAGGUUUGGUGGAGCCAACCGUGAGAUACCACCCUCGUUAUGUUGGAACUCUAACCCAGGUCCGUUAUCCGGAUCGGGGACAGUGCUUGGUGGGUAGUUUAACUGGGGCGGUUGCCUCCCAAAGGGUAACGGAGGCGCCCAAAGGUUCCCUCAGGCUGUUUGGAAAUCAGCC